AGUGAACGCUGGCGGUAGGCCUAACACAUGCAAGUCGAACGGCAGCACAGUAAGAGCUUGCUCUUACGGGUGGCGAGUGGCGGACGGGUGAGGAAUACAUCGGAAUCUACUUUUUCGUGGGGGAUAACGUAGGGAAACUUACGCUAAUACCGCAUACGACCUACGGGUGAAAGCAGGGGAUCUUCGGACCUUGCGCGAUUGAAUGAGCCGAUGUCGGAUUAGCUAGUUGGCGGGGUAAAGGCCCACCAAGGCGACGAUCCGUAGCUGGUCUGAGAGGAUGAUCAGCCACACUGGAACUGAGACACGGUCCAGGCUCCUACGGGAGGCAGCAGUGGGGAAUAUUGGACAAUGGGCGCAAGCCUGAUCCAGCCAUACCGCGUGGGUGAAGAAGGCCUUCGGGUUGUAAAGCCCUUUUGUUGGGAAAGAAAAGCAGCAGGUUAAUACCCCGCUGUUCUGACGGUACCCAAAGAAGAAGCACCGGCUAACUUCGUG
rnacentral:rRNA from 1 species